rnacentral:rRNA from 1 species
UACGGGGGGGAGCAAGCGUUGUUCGGAUUUACUGGGCGUAAAGGGCGCGUAGGCGGCGUAUCAAGUCAGGGGUGAAAUCCGGCAGCUCAACUGUCGAAGUGCCUUUGAUACUGAUGCGCUCGAGGGAGGUAGGGGUCUGUAGAACUUCUGGUGGAGCGGUGAAAUGCGUUGAUAUCAGAAGGAACGCCGGUGGCGAAAAGCGACGGACUGGACCUUUUUCUGACGCUGAGGCGCGAAAAGCUAGGGGGAGCAAAACGGGAU